rnacentral:rRNA from 1 species
CCUACGGGAGGCACCAGUGGGGAAUAUUGCACAAUGGGCGCAAGCCUGAUGCAGCGACGCCGCGUGGGGGAUGAAGGCCUUCGGGUUGUAAACUCCUUUCGCUAGGGACGAAGCCUUUUUGAGGUGACGGUACCUGGAUAAGAAGCACCGGCUAACUACGUGCCAGCAGCCGCGGUAAUACGUAGGGUGCAAGUGUUGUCCGGAAUUACUGGGCGUAAGGAGCUCGUAGGUGGUUUGUCGCGUCGUCUGUGAAAUUCCGGGGCUUAACUCCGGGCGUGCAGGCGAUACGGGCAUAACUUGAGUGCUGUAGGGGAGACUGGAAUUCCUGGUGUAGCGGUGAAAUGCGCAGAUAUCAGGAGGAACACCGAUGGCGAAGGCAGGUCUCUGGGCAGUAACUGACGCUGAGGAGCGAAAGCAUGGGUAGCGAACAGGAUUAGAUACCCCCGUAGU